GAUGAACGCUGGCGGCGUGCCUAAGACAUGCAAGUCGAGUGGGUUUAGGCCCACGGCAAACGGGUGAGUAAUAUCUAGGAAUGUCCCUCUAGUUGAGCAUAACCUACCGAAAGGUAGAGCAAUUCUCAAUGUGAUCGCAAGAUUAAAGUCGCAAGACGCUAGAGAAGCAGCCUGGACACCAUCAGCUAGUUGGUAAGGUA
rnacentral:rRNA from 1 species